UACGUAGGGUGCGAGCGUUAAUCGGAAUUACUGGGCGUAAAGCGUGCGCAGGCGGUUUUGUAAGCCAGAUGUGAAAUCCCCGGGCUUAACCUGGGAACUGCAUCCGAUACUGGAUGGCUUGAAUCCGGGAGAGGGAUGCAGAAUUCCAGGUGUAGCGGUGAAAUGCGUAGAUAUCUGGAGGAAUACCGGUGGCGAAGGCGGCAUCCUGGACCGACACUGACACUGAGAGACGAAAGCUAGGGGAGCAAAUGGG
rnacentral:rRNA from 1 species